GUGUCAGCAGCCGCGGUAAUACGGAGGAUGCAAGCGUUAUCCGGAAUGAUUGGGCGUAAAGGGUCCGCAGGUGGUUUAUCAAGUCUGUUGUUAAAGAAUCUGGCUCAACUAGAUAAAGGCAAUGGAAACUGAGAGACUAGAGUGCAGUAGGGGUAGAGGGAAUUCCCAGUGUAGCGGUGAAAUGCGUAGAGAUUGGGAAGAACACCGGUGGCGAAAGCGCUCUGCUGGACUGCAACUGACACUGAGGGACGAAAGCUAGGGGAGCGAAUGGGAUUAGAUACCCGGGUAGUCC
rnacentral:rRNA from 1 species